CCAUGCGCGUGCAGGAAGACGGCCCUCUGGGUUGUAAACUGCUUUAUAUAGGAAGAAACCCCUGGAUGCGUUCGGGGCUGACGGUACUAUAUGAAUAAGGAUCGGCUAACUUCGUGCCAGCAGCCGCGGUAAGACGAAGGAUCCAAGCGUUGUCCGGAUUUACUGGGUUUAAAGGGUGCGUAGGCGGAAAUUUAAGUCAGUGGUGAAAUCCCGCAGCUCAACUGCGGAACUGCCAUUGAAACUGAAUUUCUUGAAUACGGUUGAGGUAGAUAGAAUAUAACAUGUAGCGGUGAAAUGCAUAGAUAUGUUAUAGAAUACCGAUUGCGAAGGCAGUCUACUAAGCCGUCAUUGACGCUGAGGCACGAAAGCGUGGGGAGCGAACAGGAUUAGAUACCCUGGUAGUCCACGCCCUAAACGUUGAUUACUCGCUGUUGGCGAUAAACAGUCAGCGGCUAAGCGAAAGCGUUAAGUAAUCCACCUGGGAAGUACGACCGCAAGGUUGAAACUCAAAGGAAUUGACGGGGGCCCGCACAAGCGGAGGAGCAUGUGGUUUAAUUCGAUGAUACGCGAGGAACCUUACCUGGGGCUUAAUGUCAUGCGACAAUUGCUGAACAGUUGAUCUCCCUUCGG
rnacentral:rRNA from 1 species